CAUCCCCUUGCUUUACCACCGUCUACCAGCAUUUGUAGCUUUACUCGCUUUCACCGUCACCUCGUUUUUUGAGUUCCACCAGCAGCCACAGCAUUUCCUUUCCCAUCUCCUAACUUCGUUCUCCACAACCACCGUCUGCUUCUUCUACUUCUUCUUCACCAUUUGCCCAAGCCUUCGCCACUGUAGCUUACCCUCACUGUUCUGAUCACUCUCCGCUAUAGCUUCAUCCUUGCUGUAAGCUGUUGCAUUACCGUGUUCUCAUCAUCUGCCACUCGUAAGUCUCCCUCUCCAUUUGCACUCACCCUUUCUCCUCCUUUCGCUACAAUCUUCUUCUCCAAUCCCUAUUCUAAUCGCCAACAUUCAGAUCUAGAGAUUGACUCAUUUCUGCCAUUUUCGUUUAAGCCACACAGCUCAUUUUCUCCUCCAUAGCUACUGUCUAAAGCUUUGAUUUAUGCUUCUGCUCGGUCUAAAAUUUCUCAACUACUCUUUGCCAACGAGUUCACUGUUUCGAGUCUAUUCACUCUUGUUCUUGUCGUAUUCUCACUAUUCUGAGUUUGGGUUUUGAGGAUAACUCAUAUAUAGUGGCACUUCUUGGCAUCUAAUGUGAUCCCAGUAACCUAUAUGAGUGAUGUGACUGUUGAUCAAGCUGCCCUUUUAUAUAGCUUAAUGAUGAGGCAAUCUGUCGACUUUCCAAAAAUCAUGUUUGAGUACAUGCGGAAGUUGUCUAGAAGUAGAUAUCGCAAGCAAGCAUUUGGGUUCCCACACUUGAUUACUCAAGUGUGCUUAGAGAAGAAGGUUCCCACUUUUCUGAAGGAUCUCAUGCUCCCUCCUUUGCUAAUGUUCAAUUAUAGAGAAAUUCGAUGUGCUAAGGGACCAAGAGGGGUGCCAAAUCAAACUGCGGAUGGUAGGAGGCAUAUUGAUCCACCUCAUGUUGAGCCUACACUGAGCAACCUCAUAGAACUCAUCUAAAAUAUGCAUGAAGGCCUCCAAAGCCAGCUAGAUUGGAUUGACUUCAGGCUCCACCACAUUGAGCCAUUCUUGCAUCAGAGAUUUCAGAUAGACUUGCCAGAGGAAGAAAAGGAGGCCAAUAUUAAUGUUGGCCAAGACUCAGACACCCACGCUGACUAGCUUCACCCUUCUUUACUUUACUGCCUUUUAUUUCUGUUUUUAAUUCUAAUUAGCUGUUGAUUAGUUCUUUUUGGGUAAAUAUGGUUAGCCAUAAUCUUCUGAUAUAUUUUGUGCAGGGCUAACUUUGAUAUUUUUGUAGCUAAUAUGUAAUACCUUGACUAAUCUCUUGCAACUAAUUAUUCUAUGAUAACUUGUGCA